AUACGGAGGGUGCAAGCGUUACUCGGAAUCACAGGGCGUAAAGCGCGCGCAGGCGGUCUUUUAAGUUGGAUGUGAAAGCCUACGGCUCAACCGUAGAACUGCAUCCAAAACUAUUAGACUAGAGUGUGGGAGAGGAAGAUGGAAUUAGUUGUGUAGGGGUAAAAUCCGUAGAGAUAACUAGGAAUACCAAAAGCGAAGGCAAUCUUCUGGAACACUACUGACGCUGAGGCGCGAAAGCGUGGGGAGCAAACGGGAUUAGAAACCCCAGUAGUCC
rnacentral:rRNA from 1 species